UCAUCAGGUAGAAUAAUGCUUACCUGUUCCUCUAUUCAGAGGUCAGGUAGAACAUGAUGAUUGGAGUUCCCAUAAUUUGUGAUUAACAUCUCUUCAUGAUUAGGGCUCAGAACAUCCUAAUUGCUCCCAGUUGAU